AGCUUUGCGCAGUGGCAGUAUCGUAGCCAAUGAGGUUUAUCCGAGGCACAAUUAUUGCUAAUUGAAAAAAAAAAUCUAUACUUAUUUUCAAUAAUGGAUACAAGCAUUUUAUUCUUGCCUUUUCUGAGA
rnacentral:snRNA from 1 species